rnacentral:rRNA from 1 species
GACGAACGCUGGCGGCGUGCCUAAUACAUGCAAGUAGGACGCAGUUGCGAACGGGUUAGUAACGCGUAGGUAACUACCUAUUAGAGGGGGAUAACCAUUGGAAACGAUAGCUAAUACCGCAUACUAGUAGAUGGAUCUGCGUUGUAUUAGCUAGUAGGUAGGGUAAUGGCCUACCAAGGCAAAGAUACAUAGCCGACCUGGUGGAGUGAUCGGGCACUCGGGGACGGAGACACGGCCCAGACUCCUGCGGGAAGCAGCAGUAGGGAAUCUUCGGAAAUGGGGGGAACCCUGACCGCACAACGCCGCGUGAGUGAAGAAGGUUUUCGGAUCGUAAAGCUCUGUUGUUAAGGAAGCGGUACUUAACCAGAAAGGGACGGCUAACUACGUGCCAGCAGCCGCGGUAAUUU